rnacentral:tRNA from 1 species
CCUGGUGACUCAGUGGUAAAGAAUCUGCCUGCAAUGCAGAAGACCUGGGUUCAAUCCCUGGGUCAGGA